UCAGUACACGGUUGUGCGACGGAAUUGGAGAAAGUAUUUGAAAAAGCGCGAGUAUUUGCGACGGAAAAUGCUUGAGUACCACCCGCCAAGAGCGAGAGCAUCGCAAGAGAAGUCGAUGUGAACUUCAUGUUUUAUAUUAUUUUUGUGGUGCGUGUCCGAAACAAUUAAAUUGUAUUCAGGUCGAAACGUCGGCCCAACGCAAAGGAUGAAGG
rnacentral:rRNA from 15 species